rnacentral:rRNA from 1 species
UACGUAGGGUGCAAGCGUUAAUCGGAAUUACUGGGCAUAAAGCGUGCGCAGGCGGUUUUGUAAGUCAGAUGUGAAAUCCCCGGGCUUAACCCGGGAACUGCGUUUGAAACUACAAGGCUAGAGUGUGGCAGAGGGGGGUGGAAUUCCACGUGUAGCAGUGAAAUGCGUAGAGAUGUGGAGGAACACCGAUGGCGAAGGCAGCCCCCUGGGUUAACACUGACGCUCAGGCACGAAAGCGUGGGGAGCAAACAGG